ensembl:snRNA U6 U6 spliceosomal RNA
AUGUUAUGUUUGGCAGCACAUAUACUAAAAUUGGAAUGAUACAGAAAAGAUUCACAUGGCCCAUGCACAAAGAGGACAUGAAAAUUUGUGAAGCAUUCUAUAUUUUU